UCUCACAUUGCUGACAAUGGUA
rnacentral:miRNA from 1 species